UAUAAAAAAAUCUAAUUUGAAACAAAAUACUUCAUCAAUCAUAUUGAUGUUCUGAAUCAGAUCUAAUGCUUAGAUCUGAUCCGAUGAGUUCAGAACCCAAUAUCUGAUCGUAGGUCAACGAUCACCACUACUAAUCAUGUGGUAGGAGGUUUUUUUUGAUGUCGAACAGCUACACAGCAUAUCUGGACUCUACAAAUGAUCCACUCGAAGUGCUGAAC
rnacentral:lncRNA from 1 species